GACGAACCGAGCGAACGUUGUUCGGAAUCACUGGGCUUAAAGGGAGCGUAGGCGGGCUAACAAGUCUGGGGUGAAAUGCCGCGGCUCAACCGUGGAACUGCCUCAGAUACUGUCGGCCUCGAGGGAGAUAGGGGCAUGCGGAACUGUAGGUGGAGCGGUGAAAUGCGUUGAUAUCUACAGGAACUCCGGUGGCGAAAGCGGCGUGCUGGAUCUCUUCUGACGCUGAGGCUCGAAAGCUAGGGGAGCAAACGGG
rnacentral:rRNA from 1 species